rnacentral:rRNA from 1 species
AGCGGUAACAGAUUGAUAGCUUGCUAUCAAUGCUGACGAGCGGCGGACGGGUGAGUAAUGCCUGGGAAUAUGCCCUGAUGUGGGGGAUAACUAUUGGAAACGAUAGCUAAUACCGCAUAAUCUCUUCGGAGCAAAGAGGGGGACCUUCGGGCCUCUCGCGUCAGGAUUAGCCCAGGUGGGAUUAGCUUGUUGGUGGGGUAAUGGCUCACCAAGGCAACGAUCCCUAGCUGGUCUGAGAGGAUGAUCAGCCACACUGGAACUGAGACACGGUCCAGACUCCUACGGGAGGCAGCAGUGGGGAAUAUUGCACAAUGGGGGAAACCCUGAUGCAGCCAUGCCGCGUGUAUGAAGAAGGCCUUCGGGUUGUAAAGUACUUUCAGUUGUGAGGAAGGCAGUAAAGUUAAUAGCUUUGCUGUUUGACGUUAGCAACAGAAGAAGCACCGGCUAACUCCGUGCCAGCAGCCGCGGUAAUACGGAGGGUGCGAGCGUUAAUCGGAAUUACUGGGCGUAAAGCGCAUGCAGGUGGUCUGUUAAGCAAGAUGUGAAAGCCCGGGGCUCAACCUCGGAACAGCAUUUUGAACUGGCAGACUAGAGUACUGUAGAGGGGGGUAGAAUUUCACGUGUAGCGGUGAAAUGCGUAGAGAUCUGAAGGAAUACCGGUGGCGAAAGCGGCCCCCUGGACAGAUACUGACACUCAGAUGCGAAAGCGUGGGGAGCAGAGACAGGAUUAGAUACCCUGGUAGUCCACGCCGUAAACGAUGUCUA